CAGGGGUGGUGGCUUGAGCAUGGCGGGCUGCAGGUCUGGAGCCCUGCCCCAUAGGUAGGCGGCGGAGGCCCCGCGAGAAUUCCAGCGUAUUGUGGGCGGGCCCACACUGCGGGAGAGACCCAGCGCACUCUCCGCAGCUGCUGGCCCGAGUGCUGAGCCCCUCACUGCUGGGGCCGGCGGCGCUGCCGGCCACUCGGAGUGCGGGGCCUGCUGAGCCCGCGCCCACCCAGAACUCGCUGGCCUGCGAGUGCAGCGCGCAGCCCCUGUUCCCGCCCGCGCGUCUCCCUCCACAUCUCCGGGCAAGCAAAGGGAGCCGGCUCCAGCCUCGGCCAGCCCAGAGAGUGCCUCCCACAGUGCAGCGGCGGGCUGAAGGGCUGGCUUCUCAAGCGUGGCCAGAGUGGACGCCGAGGCUGAGGAGGCGCCCAGAGUGAGCAAGGGCUGAUAGCACGUUGUCACCUCAAUACCACAGAAAUUGAAAACAGAGAUAAAAGGAGACUACUGUAUAUCAGUUCAAGGCCAAGUGACAACCUUCUAAGAAAAACUCACAGAACUGGAAUUUGGAAGGCAAGUUAUGGUAUCUCAAACGUGUGGAGUGUGGAAAACAUGAAACAUUUCCUGAAAAUGAAAUAAUAGUAUCUGUCAAAUGAAAUCAAAUUCACUAACUCUGCAAGACUAAAUGCAAUUUUUGAGGUGAACCUCAUGAAAGAGCAAACUUCCAGGAAAGCUCUCUAAUUGAAUUUGUGGGUCAGAGUUUGAUGAGAGGAGGCGAUGACCACAGAUUGUAU
rnacentral:lncRNA from 1 species